CCUUGAAGUUGAUUGGCUCACGCACGAGCAGCGCUUUGUUCUGAUUGGUCCACGUGUACUCUGCAUUAUGAUUGGCUGCGAAAGCCUGUGUUAGGCGCCAUUACCACUUGGAGGAGGGUUUUUUGUUGACGGACACGCUCAUAGAAAUUGCAUUUGUGCAGUGACAUUCUUAUUAACGCCAGUAUUUCUGGGAAGAGCUGGCAGUUAAAGUGUGAAAAAAACUGUUGGAGUCAUAGUGAUAACCCCAAAGACUUCAGUGUAGUCUGGGAAAGAGCACUGGAGUUGGGCUUGUCACCUUGCAGAGUGAUUUCUACCUUCACAUGGUCUUCGCAUUGAUGCAAGGGUGCAGGCUGGCUACCUGUCAUGAGAUGGUGUACCUGUCGUGACGUGACGUGCCUGUGGUGAUGAGGUGGUGAUGUGAAGCGUCAGUGCUACCUGCUUUGGGAUACGAUCUCGAAUGUCUCCAGGAAAGGAUUAAACCGUGUGCAAGAAUCCAAGAGAUUAUUC